rnacentral:rRNA from 1 species
GGAGACAGGUGCUGCAUGGCUGUCGUCAGCUCGUGUCGUGAGAUGUUGGUUAAGUCCCGCAACGAGCGCAACCCUUGUCUUUAGUUGCCAUCAUUCAGUUGGGCACUCUAAAGAGACUGCCGGUGUCAAACCGGAGGAAGGUGGGGAUGACGUCAAGUCCUCAUGGCCUUUAUGACCAGGGCUACACACGUACUACAAUGGCCGGUACAAAGGGCAGCCACUUAGCGAUAAGGAGCCAAUCCCGUAAAGCCGGUCUCAGUCCGGAUUGGAGUCUGCAACUCGACUCCAUGAAGUUGGAAUCGCUAGUAAUCGCAGAUCAGCACGCUGCGGUGAAUACGUUCCCGGGCCUU